rnacentral:rRNA from 1 species
CCUANGGGAGGCUGCAGUCGAGAAUCUUCCGCAAUGGACGAAAGUCUGACGGAGCGACGCCGCGUGAUUGAUGAAGCUCUUCGGAGUGUAAAGAUCUUUUAUGAGGGAAGAAGUUUAUUGACGGUACCUCAUGAAUAAGGGGCUCCUAAUCUCGUGCCAGCAGGAGCGGUAAUACGAGAGCCCCAAGCGUUAUCCGGAAUUAUUGGGCGUAAAGGGUGCGUAGGUGGUUAUGUUAGUCAUUUGUCAAAUUCCCGAGCUCAACUUGGGAACCGCGAACGAAACGGCAUGACUAGAGAGUGUGAUGGGUAUAGGGAACUCAUGGUGUAGGGGUGAAAUCCGUUGAUAUCAUGGGGAACACCAAAAGCGAAGGCACUAUACUGGCACAUAUCUGACACUAAAGCACGAAAGCGUGGGUAGCGAAUGGGAUUAGAUACCCCANUANUC